GUGAGGAAUAUUGGACAAUGGGCGAAAGCCUGAUCCAGCCAUGCCGCGUGUGUGAAGAAGGUCUUCGGAUUGUAAAGCACUUUAAGUUGGGAGGAAGGGCAGUAAGUUAAUACCUUGCUGUUUUGACGUUACCGACAGAAUAAGCACCGGCUAACUUCGUGCCAGCAGCCGCGGUAAUACGAAGGGUGCAAGCGUUAAUCGGAAUUACUGGGCGUAAAGCGCGCGUAGGUGGUUUUGUAAGUUGGAGGUGAAAUCCCCGGGCUCAACCUGGGAACUGCCUCCAAAACUGCAUGACUAGAGUACGGUAGAGGGUAGUGGAAUUUCCUGUGUAGCGGUGAAAUGCGUAGAUAUAGGAAGGAACACCAGUGGCGAAGGCGACUACCUGGACUGAUACUGACACUGAGGUGCGAAAGCGUGGGGAGCAAACAGGAUUAGAUACCCCUGUAGUCC
rnacentral:rRNA from 1 species